ACGUCUCUUUCUAAUCCCACUACUCCACUGUCUGCUCCACUCCUAACCAACUUCCCCAUUCACCACUACUAACCAACUCUCUCACUCUCAGAAAAGGACAAAACAAUAACCUCUCUAAAUCUCUCUCACUCACUAUUUACUAAACGAAAAAAAUUCCCUCUUCGGGCUCUCAAAAAAAAUUCCUUUACACAUUUCUCUCUGAAAAACUCUCAAAAACCCUCUCCCAAAAUCCUCUCAACUCUCACUCACAAACCCUCAGAAAAAUCCUCCGCCUCCGCCCAACAUUCAUCAUCGUCUCCUCCGCCCUCCUUCGUCAACCAUCUCCAACCACAAACCUUCGCCGUCGCCGCCUUCAUCAUCACCUUCACAACUCAGCCUCCGUCAAACCCUCGACCAUCAAACCCUCCCAAUCGCAACCUCCGCCGUCACAACCGCACACCGCCGAAACCCCUACCGCCGACGCCACCGAAAACCCUCAUCGCUGCACCAUCCGACGAACCUCCGCUCAACAUCCACCUUCAUCACCCUCCGUCUCCUUCGUCCUCCUCCAUUAACCUUCGCUAACAAAAUCCCAACCUCGCCAUCUUCUUCGCACACGACCCCCACCGUCAUUCUCACCGUCAAAAUCCAUCCACCAACCCUUAACUCCUAAGCCGACACAAUCCAUCAACAGCGACUAUCUUUCUUAAAGAAUCCUAAACCUUGUCUUGAAUGUCUUCUACUGAAGAUUUGGUUUUUUUUGUUAAAUGUUUGAAGCUUGCAGGAAAGUUUUGAAGCUUUGGAACCAUAGUGAGUUCAAGAAUCAAGUAGGAACAAAGGAAAACAAUAUCAAGUUUUUUCGGUUUUUCUUCAGGUGCAGACGGAUCCCACAGGUCACGAACACCACUAGCCAGCACGCCAAUAACUGUUGCUGAGUGAUAAGGCGCUGAAGCGGAAACCUUAAGUCGAUUCGAACAUCAUCCAUAGCUUUCACAAUCACGAUUUCGGUCACAAUUCGGCUUUGAUUGCAUCUGUGAAUUUUCAAAAUCUCUGCUUCAUUUUUAUUCAAAAUAUUGGUGAUUUUAAAGUUUAUAUAUUCCAUGAUCUUGAUUAAGGAAUUAUAGGUUGUUUAUGUUUUGAUUCCUGGAACACGGUCUUGUUGUUGCGUGAAUUCUAGAGGCAUGAAUAUGUGAAUCAUGAGCCAAGUGUGGGGAUUGUGUGUAACCUGUUUGUUGUUGCCUUUUUGCCUUUCAUAGAAAUAUUUGGAAAUGCUUAGAAUUUGUUUGGAACGGUUGAAAUGUAUGUAAUGUCUCUUGCUGUAAUUUUUACAGUAAGUUGAUUUUAGUGGCAAUUUAGUAUAACCAUGCAUAAAUA